ACUUGUGGAAGAGGCAGUACCAACACAGCACACCUUCUGAUUUUGAUGAAGCGCGGACUGCAAUUGUAUUUAUUGGGAAAUAGCAGCGUCGCGAACAGGAAUCCGGAAUCAAAUCGUCGGCUCGCAGAAGAGGAGGCAGGUGACCGUCUACGCAGGCAGAUCCACCUCCGCUUGGCAGUCUGAACGCAAGGCACAUCGUUAGAAAACGACUUGUUUAUUAGUCCUUUAUUGUCGUAAUAUAUGUUAUAUAUUUAACUACAUGACUUUUAAUUGUAUUGUUUAGCUAGUCAGUUCUCCCUCCGAGAUGGAUAACGCGCACACUAAAUCCUCAUCUGAAGUUUUUGAAAACUUUAGUGUGAAUGAAAACACUGGACUCGCCCUUGAACAAGUGAAAUCCAAUUUAGAAAAAUAUGGACCUAACGAGCUCCCGGCUGAAGAAGGCAAGUCCCUAUGGGAGCUGGUGGUGGAGCAGUUUGAGGACCUCCUGGUCAGGAUCCUAUUGCUUGCUGCCUGCGUCUCCUUUGUGCUGGCUCUGUUUGAGGAGGGAGAGGAGACCAUCACAGCCUUCGUAGAACCCAUCGUCAUCCUGCUCAUCCUCAUCGCUAACGCUGUGAUUGGAGUCUGGCAGGAGAGGAAUGCAGAGAACGCCAUCGAGGCUCUCAAGGAGUACGAGCCAGAGAUAGCCAAAGUGUACCGCAUGAACCGCAAGGCAGUCCAGAGGGUCAAGGCCCGGGAAAUAGUGCCUGGGGAUGUUGUAGAGAUUGCCGUUGGUGACAAGGUCCCUGCUGACAUCAGGAUCACCUCCAUCAAGUCUACCACCCUUAGAGUGGACCAGUCUAUUCUCACAGGCGAGUCUGUGUCUGUUAUCAAACACACUGACCCCGUCCCUGACCCCAGAGCUGUCAAUCAAGACAAGAAGAAUAUGCUGUUUUCCGGCACUAACAUUGCUGCGGGGCGAGCCGUCGGCAUCGUGGUCUCCACCGGCGUGUCCACGGAGAUCGGUAAAAUCCGGAACCAGAUGGCUGCCACGGAGCAGGAGAAGACUCCUCUGCAGCAGAAACUGGAUGAGUUUGGAGAGCAGCUCUCCAAGGUCAUCUCCCUGAUCUGCGUGGCCGUCUGGGUCAUUAACAUCGGGCAUUUUGGGGACCCGGUUCAUGGGGGUUCCUGGAUGCGGGGGGGCAAUCUACUACUUUAAGAUCGCUGUGGCCCUGGCUGUGGCCGCCAUCCCUGAGGGUCUACCCGCUGUUAUCACCACCUGCCUGGCGCUGGGGACCCGACGCAUGGCCAAGAAGAACGCCAUCGUCCGCAGCCUUCCCUCUGUGGAGACCCUGGGCUGCACCUCUGUCAUCUGCUCUGACAAGACUGGCACCCUCACCACUAACCAGAUGUCUGUCUGCAGGAUGUUUGUGGUGGACAAGGUGGAGGAUUCCAGCUGUGCUGUCCAUGAGUUCUCUAUAACUGGCUCCACCUAUGCCCCUGAAGGGCAAGUGUUGAAAGGGGACAAGGUGGUCCAGUGCGCAGACUAUGAUGGACUACUGGAGCUGGCCACUGUGUGUUCCAUGUGCAACGACUCCUCACUGGACUACAAUGAGGCCAAAGGAGUGUAUGAGAAGGUGGGUGAGGCGACAGAGACGGCCCUCACUACCCUGGUGGAGAAGAUGAAUGUGUUCAAGACUGACAUGUCAGGCCUCAGCAAGGUGGAGCGCGCCGGAGCGUGCAACGCAGUCAUCAGGCAGCUGAUGAAGAAAGAGUUUACUCUGGAGUUCUCUCGCGACCGCAAGUCCAUGUCUGUGUACUGUACCCCCACUACCAAACCAGGCUCUGGGAGCAAGAUGUUCAUCAAGGGUGCCCCAGAGAGUGUGAUGGAGCGUUGCCAGUACCUGCGUGUUGGCACAGGGAAGGUGGCGCUGACCAUGCCCCUGAGAGAGCAGCUGACCUCCCUGAUCAGGGACUGGGGCACCGGCAGGGACACACUGAGAUGCCUGGGCAUGGCCACACGGGAUUUACCACCAAAACGGGAAGACAUGGAUCUGGAGAACGCCACUAAGUUCGCUGAGUAUGAGACGGGCCUAACGUUCGUUGGCUGCGUGGGCAUGCUGGACCCGCCCAGGAAGGAGGUGAUUGGCGCCAUCCAGCUCUGCGCCGAGGCGGGCAUCCGUGUCAUCAUGAUCACCGGGGACAACAAGGGCACGGCUGUGGCCAUCUGCCGACGCAUCGGUAUCUUCGGCGAGGAUGAGGAUGUGGUGGGCAAGGCCUACACCGGCAGGGAAUUUGACGACCUACCCAUAGAGUCCCAGAGAGACGCUGUAAAGCAGGCACGGUGCUUUGCCCGUGUGGAGCCAGCCCACAAGUCUAAGAUCGUGGGCUACCUGCAGUCGUUUGAUGAGAUCACUGCCAUGACUGGUGAUGGGGUGAACGAUGCGCCAGCCCUGAAGAAGGCAGAGAUUGGCAUUGCCAUGGGCUCGGGCACGGCUGUGGCUAAGUCGGCCUCUGAGAUGGUUCUGUCUGAUGAUAACUUCUCUACCAUCGUGGCGGCUGUGGAGGAGGGCAGGGCCAUCUACAACAACAUGAAACAGUUCAUACGAUACCUCAUCUCCUCAAACGUCGGCGAGGUCGUCUGCAUCUUCCUGACGGCCAUCUUGGGUCUGCCUGAGGCUCUGAUCCCGGUACAGUUGCUGUGGGUCAACUUGGUGACAGAUGGUCUCCCUGCGACUGCCCUGGGUUUCAACCCCCCAGACCUGGACAUCAUGGACAAACCACCCCGCAACCCCAAGGAGCCCCUCAUCUCUGGAUGGUUGUUCUUCAGAUAUCUGGCCAUUGGAGGGUAUGUUGGUCUGGGCACGGUGGGUGCUGCCACCUGGUGGUACCUGUUUGAUGAGGAAGGCCCUAAUGUGACCUUCUACCAGCUGAGACACUUUAUGCAGUGCUCAGAGGACAACCCCAUGUUCCAGGGUAUCAACUGUGAGGUGUUUGAGUCCCGCUACCCUACCACCAUGGCCCUCUCUGUGCUGGUCACCAUAGAGAUGUUCAACUCCCUCAACAGUCUGUCUGAGAACCAGUCCCUGAUCAGGAUGCCUCCCUGGGUGAACUUCUGGCUGCUGGGGGCCAUAGUCCUCUCCCUGUCCCUCCACUUCCUCAUCCUCUACGUCGAGCCCUUGCCUCUGAUCUUUCAAGUGACCCCUCUGUCCUGGUGCCAGUGGAUUGUGGUCCUAAAGAUCUCCAUCCCCGUCAUCCUUUUGGAUGAGGCCCUCAAGUACAUCUCCCGCAAUCACUUAGACGACAACGAGGACAAGAAGUACAGGAAGAGGCAGCUAAAAUAUUAAGACCCCCCCCACCCCACCCCCCACACACACCUUUCCUUUUUAAAGAAAUGCCCCUCUCCUCCAUUCCCUCAUUCCCCCCAGUCCUGCAUGCUCAACCUCCACUAGAAAACGAGCAGGGCAUGCAUGAGACCGAGAGUACAUCUGUGCGAGUGUGUGCGCAUGUGUUUGUAUGCGAGCGUGCGAUGGUGUACAUGUGUGAGAGUGAAUGAACGAGUUAGUGUGUUUGUAUAUGAACCAACGAACGAAUGCAUGCCCAUGUUCACGUAGGCCCAGGAAAGCGUGACGACAAACUGCAAAACACAUCCAGGACUCCUGUUGCUUUUUAAAACUUUCAGCUCAUCGCUUUUGACUCUGUACAGUAACAUGCAAUAGGUGGACCGUGGGGGGAGUGAGGGAGAGGUUUAGGAGGAGAGGGGUCAAUCAGCUGGGGGAUUGUUGUGUCUGCGGGGAGAGGGAGCUGGUGCAGCAUAGAGAGAGAGGGGUAUACCCUGGCAGAGACUACGUAGUCUUGAUGGUACCAACAACCGACAAAGAGCCUGACAUGCUAACUGGUGAAGAUGCUAGUAACGGGCAGCUAGAGGAACCACAUUGCUUGGCCUAAGGUGCUGCCCAGUACCCAUGUGUCCAUCCCACCCCUUAGGAACCCCUCUGUCUGCCAAGGCUUCUGUCAUCCAGAUCCACAAUGUUGGGGAAGUUGUCUGGACCACUGUCUGGCUCAUGCUAGUGGCCAUCAGACCAUCGCAUCACAACUACAUGCGCCUCUGGCUACAGUAUACCACCACGUUCCUCUCCUUCCCUUUCUCUCCACAUGGACCUCUGGCUACAGUAUACCACCACGUUCCUCUCCUUCCCUUUCUCUCCACAUGGACCUCUGGCUACAGUAUACCACCACGUUCCUCUCCUUCCCUUUCUCUCCACAUGGACUUCUGUUUGCUGUAUAUUGAGCUGAUUUCUGCUCUUUAGCUCUCUUCUCUCCCAUCGACCUUUCUCUUCUUGCUCUUUCAUUCUCUGUUUAGGAAGCAGGUAGGCAGCAUUGGCCCUGGGUUCUGACUCAUCCGGGCUUGGGCGGUGCAGUGUGGUGUGCGGAGGCGUGUGCCUCUCUGUCCUGAAUGUGUGAAUAGCUUUUUGCUGCUUGGCCGCUUUCUUUAGUUCUUACUGGGGAGCCGGAGUCAGCCCAGAGACAUGGCAACCAAGAUUAAAUGUGAAAUGAUGACUACACCCACUUUGCCCAGACUAUUCUGAUAAACCCAUCCAGCCUCACAAUCAACCUUCAGUUUUGCGCAUCCCUCCCCUCCACCCAUCUCCAUACCACAAGAACUCUGUUCCUAAAUCACAAUUGUAGUUGCGGAGUACUACUACCACAGAGUAGAUACACAAAAUAUACUUAUACUUUGGAAAGGAUGCUUAGGAGGGUGAGGAGGAGAAUUGGCAAGCAAGGCAGCUAAAUUGGCCAGACUUCAUCAGUCGGAGACCUUUGUCUCUCCCAGCACAUAUCAAUCAAAUCAAGACGCUAACACUCCCAACAUGCUGUAUGUCGACUUGGACCUAGUAGGGUCAAAUAAUGAAUGUAUUUUUGUGCCAGCCUAUUUCCCAUACCUUCCCACUCUACUCCCAGGCCACUCCCACGAACCCUGGUUUACCACGUGAACCCUCUCUAGCCCUUUUAGUUCGGUGCAGUAAGGUCAUUUCAUCCCUUGUUACUUAGUUUUCAUCUUAUUGAAUAAUUAAUAAUAACACACCAUCACUAUCAAUAGUGCAUGUCCAGUUAGACAAGCUUAAUACAAGCUCUUUCCCCUUAUUGUUGUGCUGCUCCCUGGGUUCUCCACGCUACCGCCAGUGCUCUUUGCAUUACAGGCUAACUAUUGGCUAUUGUUUUUAAAAUAAGUAAUAAUAAUGUAUUUGACUGAAUGAAUGAAUUUUGGAUUGUUGCUUUAGCUCUUGUUUUGGGGUUUGCUGUGGAGCCAUUGUGCUCUGCGGGCUGGGGCCAGUGGAUUAGCUGGAGGGAAGCAGAAACACAAGGGCUCAAUCACAAAUUGACCCCUAAGCACAGAUCUGAGGGAUUGGAUUGAUAUAAACAACGUGGUGAAACUUCCACCUAGCCUAUCAGAGGGCAAGGUGGAGCUAUUACCAUAUUGCUUACACCUGUCAUCCAGUCAGAUCUCCACAAAUGUGUAGGGCAGAGGGGUCGAUUUUGGGAUUGGGUCUAGUAGUGUUAUGUGCUUGUUAAGCCUUCUGACACUUUCUAAGUCUGCUUGGGUGAGAGCACCAAAGCAGUAUGACCAAAGUCCACUUUCAUUUUCAUCAAGGAACUGCAUAUACUGUAGUUGUGAUAUGCAAACAGUUGUGACUGGCACUUAAGGUAAACAUUGGACGACCAGUUAUCUCGAACCACUGACCUAACACCUUGACAGAAAGGAGAGAUCUUGGUCUUUCUGUUGCUCUUUAAUGAAUAUCUACCAUGGUACUCUUGUUAGCUAACCAGCACAACUUUUGAUUCAGAGAUUACUACCAGGCCAAUACAGUAGCUCUCUACCUGUUCUAUAGCCUAACAGUGGCAGAAGGCUUCAGGACCCCCGAUGUGCUUCCUAGCUGGUCCUCAGCCUCGGAUCAUGAUGGCGAUAUAGCAUGCUGGCACUCAGGCUGUCCAGCAGUGAUGUGGGUUUGUACAGUACCUUGUUAUUUACUACUGAAUCCUUGAACUCUGUAAAAGAAAAAAGAUUGCAUGGAUACCUUGUUACUGUAAUUAAUAUUCUAUACAGUAUAUUAGACCUUUUUGAUAACUUACAUGGCAUCAAUGAAACCUACUUAACAGCAAGAGAACCAACUGCGAGAAACCAUUACAUAUUUUCUUUGAGCACAUCUUGGCAUCUAAUGAUCUACAUUUUUUUGUAGACUAGAAAAAGGUUGUUUAUUCAUCGUUACUGUUUGUUUUCUUGGUUUCUGGGGUUUUGUCAUACUUUAGGGAAAGAAAUUACAAUGUGUAAAAUAAACAACAAGAAUCAUGGUUAUGAUGAGAAAUAAUUAUGAUAAUGAUGAAAUAAUUUAUUUCACUAAUGGUAAUAUGGUUUUGAGAAUUAUUGUUGAGAAUUUCAAAAUUAAUUGUUUGGCUUAGACAGUGCGAUGAACAGUGAUGAAUCCUGGGUAAUGAAGUUGUGUGUACAUUGAAGGGCUUGGUGUGACUGCAGGCUCCAGAGACCGCAUGUUAGCCAUUUGGGUCAGACCAUUAGGAAGGUGGUCCUAACCAUGGUACGCUUGGAUAGCCUGGUCCCAGAUCUGUUUGUGCCGUCUUGCCAAUUGACCACAGCCAUAGGAGUUGGCAAACCGCAGUCCCAGAUCUGUUUCUGUCAGGCUAAUGUUUGGCAUCGUGUGCUGUAGAAACAUAAGCACCCAUGUGUGUAUUAUCAGUGAGGUAGUCGCCAAUCUAGAGGUGGCUCUGCUCCUGUUGGACCUUUCUCCCUGUCAACCAAUAGUAAACAUUCACAGGUUGCUGGAGCCUGAAUUUCGCAACACAAAAAUAAAGGAUUCUCGUUAUUGCAUUGUUAAUAUUAAUUGUGGACACAAUUUUAUAUAUGACAAAGACAUGGAAAUAAAUAUUAUUUAUCUUGUUAGUUA